rnacentral:miRNA from 1 species
UGAGGCAGGAGAAUUGCUUGAACCCAGGAAGUCAAGGCUGUGGUGAGCCAUGAUCGCACCAUGGCACUCCAGCCUGGGUGAAAGAGUAAGACUC